GAUGAACGCUGGCGGCGUGCCUAAUACAUGCAAGUCGAGCGAACAGACGAGGAGCUUGCUCCUCUGACGUUAGCGGCGGACGGGUGAGUAACACGUGGAUAACCUACCUAUAAGACUGGGAUAACUUCGGGAAACCGGAGCUAAUACCGGAUAAUAUAUUGAACCGCAUGGUUCAAUAGUGAAAGACGGUUUUGCUGUCACUUAUAGAUGGAUCCGCGCCGCAUUAGCUAGUUGGUAAGGUAACAGCUUACCAAGGCAACGAUGCGUAGCCGACCUGAGAGGGUGAUCGGCCACACUGGAACUGAGACACGGUCCAGACUCCUACGGGAGGCAGCAGUAGGGAAUCUUCCGCAAAGGGCGAAAGCCUGACGGAGCAACGCCGCGUGAGUGAUGAAGGUCUUCGGAUCGUAAAACUCUGUUAUUAGGGAAGAACAAAUGUGUAAGUAACUAUGCACGUCUUGACGGUACCUAAUCAGAAAGCCACGGCUAACUACGUG
rnacentral:rRNA from 1 species